rnacentral:rRNA from 1 species
UACGUAGGUGGCAAGCGUUGUCCGGAUUUACUGGGCGUAAAGAGCGCGCAGGCGGUCGUGCAAGUCGCGUGUGAAAGCCCCCGGCUCAACUGGGGAGGGUCACGCGAUACUGCUCGACUUGAAGGCAGGAGAGGGAAGUGGAAUUCCCGGUGUAGUGGUGAAAUGCGUAGAUAUCGGGAGGGACACCAGUGGCGAAGGCGACUUCCUGGCCUGUUCUUGACGCUGAGGCGCGAAGGCCAGGGGAGCAAACGGG